rnacentral:rRNA from 1 species
GUCAAGUGAACAAGCGCAUCUGGUGGAUGCCUUGGCGACAACAGGCGAUGAAGGACGUUGUAGCCUGCGAUAAGCCUCGGGGAGUUGGCAAACAAACUUUGAUCCGAGGAUUUCCGAAUGGGAAAACCCACCGCACUUGUGCGGUAUCCCUACCUGAAUUCAUAGGGUAGGGAAGCGAACCCGGAGAACUGAAACAUCUCAGUACCCGGAGGAAAAGAAAUCAACCGAGAUUCCCUAAGUAGCGGCGAGCGAACGGGGACCAGCCGAAUCGAUAUUGUGUAGUGGAAGGUUCUGGAAAGUACCGGCAUAGAGGGUGAUACCCCCGUACACGAAAUGCUUUAUCGGACAUAUUAAGUAGGGCGGGGCACGUGAAACCUUGUCUGAACAUGGGG